UGCGUAGGUGGGUAGGUAAGUCAGUGGUGAAAUCUUCGAGCUUAACUCGGAAACUGCCAUUGAUACUAUUUAUCUUGAAUACUUUGGAGGUAAGCGGAAUAUGUCAUGUAGCGGUGAAAUGCUUAGAUAUGACAUAGAACACCAAUUGCGAAGGCAGCUUACUACACAGUUAUUGACACUGAGGCACGAAAGCGUGGGGAUCAAACAGGAUUAGAUACCCUGGUAGUCCACGCCCUAAACGAUGGAUACUCGACAUUAGCGAUACACAGUUAGUGUCUGAGCGAAAGCAUUAAGUAUCCCACCUGGGAAGUACGAUCGCAAGAUUGAA
rnacentral:rRNA from 1 species